rnacentral:rRNA from 1 species
GAUGAACGCUAGCGGCAGGCUUAACACAUGCAAGUCGAGGGGUAUAGGUUUUCGGACCUAGAGACCGGCGCACGGGUGCGUAACGCGUAUGCAAUCUACCUUUCACAGAGGGAUAGCCCAGAGAAAUUUGGAUUAAUACCUCAUAGUAUUAUGAAGUGGCAUCAUUUUAUAAUUAAAGUUCCAACGGUGAAAGAUGAGCAUGCGUCCCAUUAGCUAGAUGGUAAGGUAACGGCUUACCAUGGCUACGAUGGGUAGGGGUCCUGAGAGGGAGAUCCCCCACACUGGUACUGAGACACGGACCAGACUCCUACGGGAGGCAGCAGUGAGGAAUAUUGGUCAAUGGACGCAAGUCUGAACCAGCCAUGCCGCGUGCAGGAUGACGGUCCUAUGGAUUGUAAACUGCUUUUGUACGAGAAGAAACACUCCUUCGUGAAGGAGCUUGACGGCAUCGUAAGAAUAAGGAUCGGCUAACUCCGUGCCAGCAGCCGCCGUAACAC